AUCUCAGAUCUUGAAAAAGGUUGGGAAGCCUGGACGGUCGAAGGUAACUUAGUGACUGCAAUGUGUCUACAUUUAUCAUUCUCUCCAGCAGCCUGAAACAGUUGGGUGAUCUCGGAUUAGAUUCCAGAGUCCGAUUGCAACAUGAGAGCUAAGUGGCGCAAAAAGCGAAUGCGUAGACUGAAGCGAAAGCGCAGGAAGAUGCGCGCCCGUUCAAAGUAGAUUCUCAAAGCUCCCGAAGAGGCGCGGAAGAAAUCGGCACUUGAUUCGUUGAGGUAGUUUAUAAUCAGCUGAGAUACUUAACCACACGAUCUGCAGUCAAAUAUAACCUCCGUGAAAUCCUGUGUACAUUGUAAUCAUGUUAAAAUGUUGCAAUAGAUUUCUUCGCUUUGAA